rnacentral:tRNA from 1 species
CAAAAUGUAGCUUAACAAAGCUCUUCGCUUACACCGAGAAGAUAUCUGUUCGAAUCAGAUCAUUUUGAG